UUUUCCUAUAGCCCAAGACACUCAUCUCGAACUGGGUUGUGUGCCCGCCAAUAUCACUAUAAACCUUAUUAGGUAAUUGAUUAUUACUUUUUGGAUAUUGGUGCUUCAUGAAUUUAAUGAUUAGGCACAACAACCUACCAUGGUGACCACGGAUAACGGGGAAUCAGGGUUUUAUUCUGGAGAGGGAGCCUGAGAAAUGGCUACUACACAGAAGGAAGGCAGCAGGCGCGCAAAUUACCUACUCCUGACGUGGGGAGGUAGUGAUGACAAAUAACAAUACAGGACUCUUUAGAGGCCCUGUAAUUGUAAUGAGUCCACUUGAAAUCCUUUAAAUAUGAUCAAUUGGAGGGCAAGUCUGGUGCAGAGUGACUGACCUGUGCGUGCUGCAGCUGAAACUCCACUA